rnacentral:piRNA from 1 species
UGUGGUGUGAGUUUAUCCAGGUGCCAGAGU